rnacentral:rRNA from 1 species
GACGAACGCUGGCGGCGUGCUUAACACAUGCAAGUCGAACGGAAAGGCCUGCUUUCCCUUGUGGAUUGCGGGUACUCGAGUGGCGAACGGGUGAGUAACACGUGAGUGAUCUGCCCCCAACUUGGGUAUAAGCCUGGGAAACUGGGUCUAAUUCCCGAUAGGACUGCAGGGUGGUGCCUGUGGUGGAAAACGAUUUUCUAGUGGUUGGGGAUGAGCUCGCGGCCUAUCAGCUUGUUGGUGGGGUAAUGGCCUACCAAGGCGGCGACGGGUAGCCGGCCUGAGAGGGUGGACGGCCACAUUGGGACUGAGAUACGGCCCAGACUCCGACGGGAGGCAGCAGUGGGGAAUAGUGCACAAUGGGCGGAAGCCUGAUGCAGCGACGCCGCGUGGGGGAUGACGGCCUUCGGGUGGUAAACUCCUUUCGACCGCGAGGAAGCCACCUGGUUGGAAGGGUGGUGACGGUAGUGGUAGAAGAAGCACCGGCUAACUACGUG